rnacentral:rRNA from 1 species
GAUGAACGCUGGCGGCGUGCCUAAUACAUGCAAGUCGAGCGAACGGACGAGAAGCUUGCUUCUCUGAUGUUAGCGGCGGACGGGUGAGUAACACGUGGAUAACCUACCUAUAAGACUGGGAUAACUUCGGGAAACCGGAGCUAAUACCGGAUAAUAUUUUGAACCGCAUGGUUCAAAAGUGAAAGACGGUCUUGCUGUCACUUAUAGAUGGAUCCGCGCUGCAUUAGCUAGUUGGUAAGGUAACGGCUUACCAAGGCAACGAUGCAUAGCCGACCUGAGAGGGUGAUCGGACACACUGGAACUGAGACACGGUCCAGACUCCUAAGGGAGGCAGCAGUAGGGAAUCUUCCGCAAUGGGCGAAAGCCUGACGGAGCAACGCCGCGUGAGUGAUGAAGGUCUUCGGAUCGUAAAACUCUGUUAUUAGGGAAGAACAUAUGUGUAAGUAACUGUGCACAUCUUGACGGUACCUAAUCAGAAAGCCACGGCUAACUACGUG